CCCAGAGGCCAUCUUGGGCUCUUUGCAGGUGACAGCGGGCCUGCCAACUUGCGGAUCUCCUCGGGACGGGGACGCCCUUCUGCAAUUACUUCCCUGCGAUUGAGUGUACGCUGGCCAUUCAGGCAACAGAUCUUGUCAUGGCAUUCCUGAAACCAGGAUGAGCUUACUACUUUGUAAAAAGUCUGUACCAGAAACAAAGGGAAAUGUCUCAUUCUCUAGUGGCCUGCUCAUCUACCUGCAGCAAAACAUGCAAGUCACAAUGAGGAUGCUUUUACUUUGGAGAUCAUAAAAUGUGGCCUUUUCUCGUCAUAACCUCAAGAAAACCCUUGAAGUAUACUUUUUAAUCAUGGAAAAGUAAAUAAAGGAAUAAAACUACAGUGAAGACCAAUGUUAUGAAUUGCUACAGUCCUUGUUUCCCCAGUGAAUAAUAUAGAGAGCAGCUGAUGACAGGUCUAUCCUGCAGCACUGUCUUCAUUCAGAAUGCUCUGGAGUCACUGGAAUUCUCUCUGUUUAAUAUGGUAUGAGAGCUGAGACUGUUCAGCCUGGAGAAGAGAAGGCUGAGGGCAGGUCUUAUCACUGUAUAUAAGCAUCUGAAGGGAGGGUGUGGAGAUGAUGGGGCCAGACUCUUCUCAGUAGUGCCCAGUGAUAGCUAUGAAGCAAGCAGUAUGGAUGGUCAGUAGUCCAGGACUCAGGCUUGCAUCCUGCCCUUGAUUAAUGUGGUAGAAUAGAUCUAAUCUGUAAAUUUUAAUCUGUCCCUUUUCUAACGGAAUUAAUAUUUGGGAAUGGUCUGUUAAUCCUUCACCUGAUAUAACAAGCUCUGCCUCUAAUAUAUUGAAAUGUUUUCAGAUUUCUCAUCAAAGCUAGUUUUUAUCAGAUAAAUUACCAGUUCAGGGGAAGUCUAUUGAAAUGAAUUGAAUGAAUAGAAUACUUAGGUGAAAGGAAAGGUGGAGACAAAAAACAACUAAACAAACCAACCU